UUCUGCAGUGAGGCAAACUCACCUCACACCGUCCAGUUUGUUCUUUAAAGCUUUUAUUAAAUCCACUGUGUUGAAGUAUUUUAACAAGUUUCCUCUACGCUGCAGGAAUUAAAGUUUACAUUACGGAGUAAAAGUUCGGCAAACGCGUUUGUUUAUAUCUGGCCGCUGCACGCCGGGUGUGGGGAGGGGGGACUCGGUGCUGAUCAGCUCUGAAAAGUGUUGAUCAGAAUUUGCAGAUCACAUUUAUUUUUCAUGGAGAUCGGCCGCGGAUUCCUCUUCCGGUCGGCAUACUAGUGUGGCAGGACUGGUUGGCGUCUAACUGCCCAACCUAUAACUCUUAAAGAGAGCCUAGUAUAAAUGGGGGCGCUGUAGCGCCUCCCUCUCACUUGUUCCUUACCCCCUCCUUUGCGUGUCUGCUGUGGAGAGGACUUCCCUUUCUGUUGACCUGUAUGAGGAAGUGUGCGGUCGUGUGUGAGACCUCGGAACACUUCAAUUGUGAGUAUGCCUAAUCCCAGCGGGUGUAACAUGGGAGUUAGUCUCUAUUAUUGCUCCUGCUCAGGGAUCACUUGGAUUCGGGCUCAGUCGGCGAAACGCACAGCGUUCCGUGGUUCCGGGUGGUCAUCUGUUAUCAGACGUGCGUUACCGCUCCUGCUGGUGUGGGUGUGCGGCGUCUGAUCGAACAAGCGGCUCUGCCUCUGCUGGUCGCUGGGUGUGCCCCGCAUUGUGGACUCGAACGAGGGGACAGGGUUUGGACCUGACCGCUGUGUUCCUGGCUGCUUGGAGCACCUCACAGACAAGUGGACAUUUCAUUAGCAGGAGCAUCGUUGUGUGUGUGUGUGUAUAUGUGUGUGUGUGAGGCAAUUAGCUCCCGUAAUUGUGAGGGGCCUCACAUUUCUUUCAUUAACCGUUCUCUUUUGUUUACUUAUUUUGACAGGCUGGUGGUGGUGGCCACGUCAGGGUGACGGUUCCAGUUGAGUUGCUCUUUGGGCAUGUUUGCAGUUCUUCACUUCAUGUUGGAUUGGUUGCACGAGUGACUGGGGUGAACUUUGGGGUUUGUUGUUUUUUUUAGUUUAUGGUUCUGUCUCUACUGAGGGAUUCGGCACCUCCUCAGUAGCCUCAGCCUGCCUUUUUAUAAUUAUUUUAUUGCCAUUUUGGCCUUUUAGUAAUUAGUUUUCGCUUUUUUACUCAAGUUUUAUUUAUAUUUCUGUUAAUACAUUUAUGUCAUUUGGGAACCCAGACUCAAGCUCAUUUUUCAUAAGAGUGGACCUAUGUGUCCUUAACCUUUGUCCUUGGGUAUCAAAGUGGCGUUGUUGUUGUUACAGUAAGAACAGAAACACUUGUUCCUCCCCAGUCUAGGAGGAACACGUAUGGGCCAUUCCCAUCUGUACCGGGUCGGCCCGGACCGGGUAGCGUAGGUUGUUUACAUAUCUGGGUGGCCUGGUAUUUUACCGGGCCAACCAAGGCUCAUUCUCAGCCCUCUUCUCGAGGGGGUCUGCUUCAGGCCGACCAGGGCCAACACACCCACUGCUGACAGCAAAUUCACACCUUCCAUUAGAGCAAGUCGGCCAGGCUGGGGCCGACUGGGGCUACCCGGCCCGGUACAGAUGGGAAUGGCCCAGUAGACUGGUUCCGGCCUAGCGUUGCACUAGAGCCGUGUGUAUCCCCAGCUCCUAGCCCUGCUCGCCACACUAGGAAUCGAAACUAGGAAUCUAAAUAAAAAACUUUGAGCAAUACCGGGAAAGACUAAACGUUGGUACCGGUUCCAAUCGAUGCUCGAUGCCCAACCCUAUGUCGGAAAAUAUCGAUAUGGCAAUGUAUCGCAAUAUUUUUUCCAGCGAUAUUAUAUAGAUAUUCAAAAGCCGUGGAAGAAUUUUCAUGCAAAAUUUGUGUAUUUUCUUUUCUGUUGGUGUAAUUCAAACACCGACCACUAGUUGGCAGCAGUGUGCACUGGGUUUUGUUUCCACCAUUGAAAUGUAAAUCCCUCUAUUUUGGUUCAGAUACCUCAUGUUACACAUCUUAAGUAUCAGUUUGGACUGUUUAUUGAAUUUUCCUACAAUAAUUGUAGUAAAAAAAACGCUUUAUAUCGUCUGGCUGAAUGUAUGCAUUAUAUCGUCUCCCCUGUAUCGUAAUACCUAUCGUAUUGCCAGAAUUUCACCAAUACACAUCCCCAAAGCCAACAGUUAGUCAGUGACUUGAUGCAAUGUGCUGGGUUCCUUAUAUAGGAAGCAUUAUUUCUGAUUGGCUUAAUGAACUGACCUGAAUUGGAAUGUUUAUUAUGUGAGGUGCCUUGAGAUGACUCUUGUCGUGAUUUGGCGCUAUAUGAAUAAACUUGAAUUGAAAGUUACACAUGCAGGAACAUACCCGACAUAUUUGUAGCCAGAAAAGGCCAACAGGUCAAUGGUGGUGAGGUCUGUGUUGACGGUGAUGAGGUAAAGUGACAGCAGGACCAGCAGGACUUCCAUGAUCAACCACACCAACGCUGAGCUGGCCUGAACUCCCAGCAGCUCCGGAGAAAACCUGACAAUUAGAAACAUCCAAUUACCUUCCUGUUUCUAAUCAUCAUCUAGUUUUUCACAUUUAUAAAAAAUAAAUGUAAGAACCAGUACGUCUGCUAUAGUAAACACAGCAGAGAUGGGUUACCUAGAUUUAACAGUAAGAUGACCAGAUGUGUACCUGUUCUGUGUGCCAAGGGCCAGUCCAGCCACCAGGACGUAGGUGAUGAAGCCCAUGGCUGGGAUGUAAAGAUCUGGGGCGUUUACAUCAAAACGUGGAGCAACAGGUGUGUCCUGCUGGUAACUCACUUCCCAAUUCUAAAAACACACAAAGCCACAGGAUCUGCACCUUCAAACUCAAGGGAUGAAUGUGUAGCGUCCAGAAAUGGACAGUUUUUCAUCUACAGUUGACCUCUCCAGUAUCGGGUCGUAUAGAGACAUAACCCCGGCUUUCCACGGGAGCCGUCAGCAGCACGUUACUGCAGCAGCACGUCAUAGCUGCUGAUAGGAACCGCUGUGGUCAACAGAACCUUUUCCACUGGAGCCGUCGGCAGCCGGCAGCAGCGCGAGUCGGCCGCGUCUCAGGAGCAGCAUGUCGCGGCCUUUACGCGCCGGUUCUAUUUCCUACGCGCGACGCCUCUGAAACGGGGCAAGUUCGACAUUUUUGGGGAAGGAAAGACAGGAAAUCGGACGCGGAAAUGGAGAGAAGCUCCCGAGAUUUUCAGAAUAAAGAACGUACUGCCUUCCGGUCGCUUUACUUUAAAAAAGGUUACUAACUGUGCGGCCCCGUGAGAAGUUAUCACCUAGCUAGCGGUCUCCUUUGUUUUUCAGGUCCGUAUUGGCGAUUAUAAAACGGACAGAACAUAAAAACACAAAUAUUUUGGAGCCAUGUUGUAGUUUUCUCCUGCUUGUUGUUGUGUUUACUGACGAAGUCACUCGUGUGACUUCGUGCUCUGUCGGUGACAGUUGCUCCCCUGCUGAUUCGCGUCUCGUGGGAAGGGCCAAGCAGCAGCUUACGCGAGCAAGACGUGCUG